UGGGGAAUAUUGCACAAUGGGGGAAACCCUGAUGCAGCCAUGCCGCGUGUAUGAAGAAGGCCUUAGGGUUGUAAAGUACUUUCGGUGAUGAGGAAGGUACUUGGUCUAAUAGGCCAAGUAAUUGACGUUAAUUACAGAAGAAGCACCGGCUAACUCCGUGCCAGCAGCCGCGGUAAUACGGAGGGUGCGAGCGUUAAUCGGAAUGACUGGGCGUAAAGGGCAUGUAGGCGGAUGAUUAAGUUAGGUGUGAAAAUCCCCGACGCAGCUCAAACUUUGGGGAAAUUUGCAUUUAAAACUGGUCGUCUAGAGUAUUGUAGAGGAAGGUAGAAUUCCACGUGUAGCGGUGAAAUGCGUUAGAGAUGUGGAGGAAUACCGGUGGCGAAGGCGGCCUUCUGGACAGAUACUGACGCUGAGAUGCGAAAAGCGUGGGGAGCAAAC
rnacentral:rRNA from 1 species